UCAAAAUCUCUCUCUGUUUCAAUUUUCAAAUUUUGAACACCCUCUCUCUUUCUCUCUCUCCAUCAGAGCCCAUUCCCUUGCUGGAGACCCAACCCCAAUCUUCAUCUUCAUCAACUGAGGCAGCCCCAAUCUUCAUCUUCUCACUACAAAAGACCAACCAUUCGGAAGAACCAAGGGAGAAUUAUGACAAUGUCAAGUUUACAGAGCACACCACUGUUAAACAUGCUAGAGCAAGUAAUGGGCCUUAGAAGGAGGAUGGCCUGGAUCUGAAACCUUGUUGGACAAAACCCGGUUUGGAAGAAGCAACACAAACAGACGGUUUCGUCACCUUCUCAUUAACCAACGGCCCUGAAUAUCAUGCCUCACAGGCUCACAUUAGGCAGCUUGAGGACUUCCUUAAGACCUUUCAUAUCGAAACAUUGUGAGCUUAGAUAAUUGGAAAAAUGGCGAGGUCAUCAAUGCGUGUUCUAUGUUUGCUUCACUGUAGUACUUCAUUAUCUAGAUCAAAGUGUUUGGAGAGGUUUGCCUAAUUCAUAUUUUUGCUGUUGUUGAAAUUUGCUCCCCGGUUCAACUAGGAAGACUUUUAUACAAGAGUUAUCAUUUUAUUGUUAGGUUUCACUAUGUAAAACCUGUGUAAACUUCUCUCUUACAUUCAUGUGUGUUUCAGCCAAUGAUGGAGUCAGAAUUAUGGUUACCACUGGUAUAUUCAGAGCUCUCAAAGAAGUACAUGAAUUUUGUGCUGAAAGAAGGGGAUUAAUUACAAAAUAAAUUGAAAGAAGAUUAUUUGUUGCUACGACAAUGUCCAAACCAAACCAAACCAAAUUAAACCAAGCCUUAAGUCUCAUUGCUAUGACAAUGUCAUUGCAAAAAAUUGUGAAACAUGCAAUUAUCACUCUUAAACCUAGGUUUGUUGAGUUUUUUUGGUAUUGUUCAAAUUGAAACCGUAAAAUCAUCUGAUUUAAUAAUAUUAUAUCAAGCUAUUCAUGUA